GCGGAUGGGACUUCGGUGGACGUGGCCGUGGCCCCGUGGGAUCGCUUUUCUUUCCCAGGGAAGGGCAGGAAGUGGACAGGAACCGGCCUCAUGCGUGGGCCCUGGGACAGCUGGGACCCCUGGCAUGGCCGUGCUCGUCCCUGUCCUGUCUGCCACCGCCCUCGUGGCUGCGAUUUACAGAAUCUCCAGGCGGCAGCUGCUUGCAGCCAGCACGAUCGGGGCCUGCGCAGGUGGAGGACAAGCUGCCCAGGUCACGCCUAAAAGCUUAUUAAACCGCUGGUGUGAAAGUCUCUGCCUUCCAGCCGGUGCGAUGGCUCUGAAUUCAUCCCGGGCAGAGCUUCGUCCAAGGGGCGACUGUUUGUAUGAAGACAGACGUGGAUAUGGAUUUCAAGGUGCUGGAUUUGUGCUGACUUGGUCCAAAACCCAGCCGCAUCUGGUUAUGUCUGGUGUCGACGGCUCCAAAAAUGUCCUGAAUUCCAGACAACCUCUUGGGCUUCGAAAUAAAAGUCAUUAAUCCUGCAUUUGAAU
rnacentral:lncRNA from 1 species